UACGUAGGUGGCAAGCGUUAUCCGGAAUGACUGGGCGUAAAGGGUGCGUAGGUGGUUUGGCAAGUUGGCGGCGUAAUUCCGGGGCUCAACUCCGGCGCUACCGCCAAAACUGUCGGACUCGAGUGCAGGAGGGGUAAGUGGAAUUCCUAGUGUAGCGGUGAAAUGCGUAGAUAUUAGGAGGAACACCAGUGGCGAAGGCGGCUUACUGGACGACAACUGACGCUGAGGCUCGAAAGCGUGGGGAGCAAACGGG
rnacentral:rRNA from 1 species